rnacentral:rRNA from 1 species
CACGUAGGGGGCGAGCGUUGUCCGGAUUCAUUGGGCGUAAAGGGCGCGCAGGCGGCCCGGAAAGUCGGAUGUGAAAACUCGAGGCUCAACCUCGAGCGUGCACCUGAUACUGCCGGGCUUGAGGCAGGUAGGGGAGACUGGAAUUCCUGGUGUAGCGGUGGAAUGCGCAGAUAUCAGGAGGAACACCGGUGGCGAAGGCGGGUCUCUGGGCAGUAACUGACGCUGAGGAGCGAAAGCGUGGGGAGCGAACAGG